UUGCAGCCAGUUAAGCCGACUGUGCUCUUUUCCCCAUGGGGGCCCAGUGUGCAAUGGCUGCAAACAGCAGCCUCCUUGGUAGUGUAUGCAGCCUGUCGCCUGUACAGGUAGCCCUAAGGGACCUUGGAGACAACU
rnacentral:snoRNA from 1 species